UGUCACCACUCACCAAGAGUCUAGCGACGCCCUCCUCCCUCCUCCCAGCACCGUCGCCUCCGCCCCCCGCCGCCCUCCUCCCUCCUCCCAGCUCCGUCGUCUCCGCCAACGCCUCUGCACCGCCCCGCCCCCCGUCCUCCUCCCAGCGCCGCCGAGCCUUUGACAUCCGCUCCACCCCGGCCCCGCCAGCGCCACCGUCUCCCCUUUGACCUCCGCUCCGCCCAGCUCCGCUGUCUCCCCUGGAUCUCCCGAGCCGCCUCCGAUUUAAGCCCUAUGGCAUGCAUGUCCAUGGUGACGUGCGAGAAGGGAGAAGGGGGACUGGAGGCGGACGGGGCACGGCGAAUUUAGCAUCGGAGCAUGUAGCUGCUCCGAUUUCCUAAAGAAAAUUCGCAGGUUCUGUCCAUUCAGUGGUUGAUUCACCGCUGAUCUGCUGGUUGCUCUUCUGUUUAUCGAGGUCUUGGUCCAAGGAGAUGCUGUUGGUAGGGAGGGAGGCGCCUCAAGUGUCGAGGGAUCGAGGCGUCAAGCAAGUACUACCUAUUUUUCUUCAUGAUUCAUGACCUUGGUUAAUCUCUCUGUCAAUAAGAACGAUUAAAAAAAUUAUGUGCAAACUGAUACGUUGUUACAGCGUGCUGCAAAUACUGGAACACUUCCUCUUCCAUCCAUGGCAUUAGUUACUCCAAGGAGUAUCAUAUAUUAGGUGCUUUUAGGUGUUGAACUGAACAGAGAAAUGUCAUAUAAGGAAGCUGUCGAGCAUGCACAAGCCACGGGCCAUGUCAGUUUCCAAGAAUGCAAAUGACUGUACAAGAUACACUACCUCUGCUGUUAUAACUCUCACCCGUUCCAUUUGGUUUCUUACAGUGUUGAGAAAAUAUUAAUUUGUCAUGCUGUAAAUUCAAUAAUAUCCGUUUGAUAUUGGUGUUUCAUUUCAUUUGUGACCGAAUGUAGUCAUACGUCCAGUGGAAAGCAGGAAGUUUCCUCUUGAAAGAUAAAGUUUAAAUGUUUGUAAAAAGUCCACUCUUAUUCUGAUACCAUAAGAAACAAAGUGAAAGCACCCACACUGUUCAGGUAUACCAAUAAUUGAUCGAUCCAUAUGCUAAUUAAACAUGGCUGUUGUUGUAGGCUAUGUUUAGGAAUGAGUCUAACCAAUCAACACAUGAAAUGAGGAUGGUUUAUAAAUAUCUUCAACAAAGUACAACAAAGUGGGAAGUCAGCUGACCAAAGCUCGGUUAUGAGGCGAAAUAAAGCUCUUCAUGCCUGGACAUGCCCAAUCGUUUUUCUUAAAUGAACUGGUUACUACUAUGGAACCAGGUGGGUGGCUAUUACAUAAAUUAAUGUCGCUUUAUUCUUAAUUACGUACUGUGUUAAUAUAAGGAAGUGUGGUUUAUUCUCAGAUAAAAGUUUUUAUUUUCCUCGGUGUAAGGAACUGAUAGAUUGUUUACCUUUUUGCCUUCAGUAUGUCAUCCAGAUCUAAGAGGCUCUCAGACUAAGAAUCUGCAAAGCAACAACAUAACUAAUUUUUACACACAUUUAGUUUACAGAUAGCUUCACCAAUAUUAAUAAUAUUGUGCAUAUGUUUUAGUGCAGUUGGUUGUGUAUUUUCAAGCUAUCAAGGUGGCUACUAACAUAUUUUACAUGCAUCGUUUAUUUUAUACUCCCUCCGAUCCUAAAUUGUUGUCGAAAUAUUACAUUUAUCUAGACGCUUUUUAAUUAUAGAUACAUCCAUAUUUGGGCAAAUUUGAGUCAAGAAUUUAGGAUCAGAGGGAGUAGAUAAUAAUUCAAUGCCACCAGUUGUCGCACCAUGGUAUUGCUUAUACUCAACAUCUUUAAUUUCUCAAUUUCGUUUAUUGUACCCAAAGGGAGGAAACCAAUCGCCUCUAAUUUGUUCUUUUGCUAGAUUAAACUUGUGCUCACUACCCAAGUGCUAAUUAGUUAUUUACAUUUACUGAGUGCUACAGAAUCUUGAGACGGAAUUGCAUGAGACUGUCUAUAUAUAUAUAGGUAUGCUUUUGUUCAAAUGGCAAUGGCUAAAUCAUCUCUAAUGUUCAGUUACAGACCUUAAGUCCCUUGUGUGUGCUGCAGCCAUUGCAAUGUCAACCUCCCCACCAUGUGAUCGCCUCCUCUCUGAUUUGGUAUAUGUGGUUUUCCUUUGGUUUAAUUCUGACUCAUUGUUGUUUGUAAGACUUUGCAAUUGACUUCAAAGGCUGGGAGGAAUCUAUUCAAGCAUUGCCCACUGGUGCUCAAUACUUAGUAGGCAGCAACACAACACAAAAUGUAACCCAUGUAAAGAAUCUUUACCCCUAUGAAAGGGUGAAGAAACCACCCAUAGGAUCGAUCGGCCACGUCGACGCAAAUCUCCCUCGAUGCCUUUUUUUUUUCAGCCUGGCCGCUGUCGCCCGAUUUGAUUUGGCACCUGUCCCUUGGGCUGUCCCAUGGAGUUUUCUCGAGUGUGUGCGGCCUCAGUUUUGAGGGGUUCCGGUGAGUUCUCCCUGCCGGCCGCCGCUCCCAAAAUCCCGUCGGUUUGACUCAUUAGACGGGAGACAGCAGACCUCUGCGAGGGCGAGUGAGAGAUGGCAGCGGCGACAGCGCAAGCUCUAAGCAGCAGGCACCAGAUGACAGCGGUGGGGCUGGGCAUCUGGCGAAUGGAACCCCAGCCAUCCGUGGCCUCAAGCAUUUCGUCCUCCGCGCCGGGUACCGCCAUUUCAACUGCGCCGGUAUGCCUGCCUCCCCCUCUCCCCCAUUCAUCCUCUUCGGAUCUAUGCUCAUGUGGAUCAAAUCGAGUUGAAUCCCUGGGUGGGGGUCGAUGGUUCUCUUGUGUGGCAGGAGGCGGAGCGUGUCGCAGUCGUCAAACUCGCCGAGGCACACCGCGCACUCGAGCUCGCCCUUCAGGCUGGCCCUGUGCGCCCUCACGUCGGCGUAUGCCAUGGUUGGGAGCGCCCGGAGCACGGCCGUGUCGAGACCGCGCGUCCUUCUCACCUCCCGCUGCCGGCGCCGAUGGCGAAGAGGUUGCCGGCAGGUCCCUGCCGAGCAGCGGAGGUAGAAGGAGAAGAAGAAUCCGAGGAAGAAGAAGGCGGUCACGAACACCACGAUUAUGACCGCCAUCGAUGGGUUGAAGUUUUGUGGGUUAGCUCGGCCCGCGGCUCGGCGAGUCCCGCUGUGCGGACGUGAUGCCGGCGGCCUGAGAGACGAGAGCGGCGACGAGGAGGACAACGAGGAAGGAGGAGCUACUGCGGCCAUUGCCAAGGCCCCGCGUCCAGCCCAUGGAUCGCGGAUCUCUCCGAUCUCACCUCCUUUCGGGUGGAUCUAAUGGAUGGAGGCUGGGCACUGGUUCGUUCUUGUGCCACCCCCCGGUUGUUUGCUGUUGGCGGUGGUAGGGGUCAGUGGAGGUGGAGGCGCACGGGGUUUGUCGACGUUUGCUAGCCGUUUGAUUCAUGCUGCUGGGUUUUUCGUGGGCUGCUGGGUUUCUCGUGGGUUGGCGGUGGUUCUUCCUGUCUGCGUGCUGGGGGUUUCUUCCCUUGUGCAGGUUCGUUGAGAUCUCGAUUCUUUUUUGCUAGCUGAGACCGAUGUGUUCUAUUUACAUGUAUAUGUUUCUUCCGACAUGUUUUGAGGUUUUUCAAUUUUAUUUAUUUUCAAUGGAUCCAGUUGGGAAUAAAGAUGUUACAUGUAACCUAAAUUGAGUGACCAAUUUGAUCAAUUAAUGCCUAAUUGAGCAAUAAUCUGACCUCCACUCAGAAUCAUCCCCAUAGGAUGAGUAAUUGAGACACAUCUCUUCUUUCUCUACCGAACCAUUUUGUGUGAGCUGCAGAUCAAGGAGGAAGGAGACGCUGAACUAUUAUUAGUUGCAGAAAUCAUUAUGUUCAAGCGGUUUGCCCAAUUUCCCUUAGUUUUAAGUACUUUGAGUACAACUUUCUGCCUUUUGUGCACAGUAACUAGAAUAUUGGGUUGGCUAUUGAUAUUAUUGCAAACUUCCAUAAUUAUCUGAAGUUUGGUUUGUAUUGAUACCCACUUCUUAUGCAGUAUAAAGAAAAUGUCAAUCCCAAAAUUAUUUUAGCGUACAAGUUGUUAGCCUUCAGGGGAAAAGGUAUCUUUUGAGGAUGUUAAUACAGUGGAAGUAGUUUUCCUAUAAUCCACCUCUGAUGGACUUGAGGUAUAGAGCUGCAAAAGCUCACUUUUAUUUAACAGUGCAUUGACUUUUUUAUAGUUAUUGUAAACCUCUAAUAUAUUUUUCUUAGUUUAAUUUCCCUUGCCCAAAUCAUGGAGAAGUAUUUCUCUUUUCAAGGUCUAACUAAAGGCGAAUGAAGAUGCUCAUAUUUUCAGCUUCAUAUGUGAAUAGGGGGUUUUUCUGGACCUCCUAUUAAGGUACUUGCACACCUUUGUAUCUGUAGUUAGCUGCCAACUGAAGGGUGCCUAUGUAUGCAAUCAUGUACAGUAGGCUUCCAUUGCUGAUGUGUAUAUAUUUUCUGAAGCAUGGAUCUUUUCUCAUAGUGAUACCAUACCUUGGUCCUAGGUGCUUGAUGUUUCUUUAGCUAAAUCUUCAAUGUUGUUCUCAGUAAUGGAAAAUCAAGAGGAAAUUUUAGGUAAUGAUGGCUACUCCCUUUCCCAUCCACCGUGUUGAGUUGGUGAUAUUAUUCCCGUUUCUUCUUUUCCCUUUGUAUUUUCUUCACUGUGGUUUUUAUGUCUCUUUGUUGACAAAUGUCUCUAAUAUUAUGAUGAUUUUAUUCUGUUUUUACAUGUCCAUCUGGGCAACUUGCCAUUGGUGACUCCAAAUAAUAUUACUCCUGCAGAGUUUGCUGUGUAGUUGGUGCAAAGACAAUUCAGGCACCUUUCUUCUAAAAUCAUGCUUUUUAUGUUUUCACCGUGGUCUUCAUAGCAAUUGAUCUAUAGGUUGCUUCAUUCUUCCUUGUAUCUCUAAUUUAUACAACAUGGUGUCAGGUCAAUCAUUAAUUCAUUGAAGGUAUAUUUGUCACCAUCAUCGUCGCUCUAUAGUAUCACUAUUAGAUGUUUCCAUAUAUUAUAUAAUUUUAUUUAUGCUUUUGUAUGUCUUAUUUCCCCGACUGAUUUGUGUGAUGACAUUGUUUGUUCCUUUCUGAAUAACGCUGAUUACUGAAAUAUUGUCCAUGGUUGACCUCACUGUUGCAGUGAUCCUUUAUUUGGUUCAUUAUCAAUGAUAGUUAUCUCAUUCUGAUCAGUUUUCAGUGUUGGUUUAUGCUAUAUGUAUUUUCUUUUUGGAGUUUUUUAGUCAGGGAUGGACAACCUUUCUCUGGCAAGUAUGUCCACGUGAACACAAAUUGUGCUAACUGUUAGAGUGGUGUUCCUUUGUAGAUGAUAUAUGAGCUUGUGAAAGCAGGGUUACGUAUUUCUUUCAUAUGCUUUUGAUCAAAUUUUGUAGUACUUGACUCACAUUUUUGCAUCUUUCAAAAAGGUAUGUAGCACUACCCAACUGCUAAUUAGCUAUUUAUAUUUAUCGGGUGCACAAUCUACUCUCUUUUUUGCGAAUGGGUGCACAAUCUACUGCUCGAAUGGUUUUCUAAUUAUAAUUGUUUAUGUAGAAUCUCAAGCGGAAUUGCAUGGGCUGUUUGUAUCAAUAAACUAUUGUUCGAAUGGCAACGGCUACUCAUUUCUUUAGUCGGUUGCAGAACAAAGUCCUUUGUGUGGGCUACAGGCAAUGCAAAUGUCCAGAACCACUCAUAGGAUAAUCUCCGAAGAGUAGUCAUGGCUUCUAUAUACAUGUAUGCACACUUUGAAAUUCUGCAUGCAAGUUAUAAAGGUGAAAGUGAGGAAGCAGAGACUGGCAGCGGGCCGAACAAGAUCUGAUCUCAGAUGCACCGGAUCUGGAGGGGCAGGGCGGCGGAGACGGGGACUGCCGGCAGCAGUGCAUACAGCCGCAAACCCUAGAUUCGGCUCUGAGGGGAGGCAUGGCUCGAUGCUGGCACGAUGUGCCGGGAGAGGUGGCACGAGGAAGAAACGGGCCCAGGAUGAUGAGGCAAAAACGGUUCGACAAAAGGUGUUGACAAAGAGGAGGGCUGACGAGCCAGAGCAGGGGUGGGAAUACAACGAAUAUUGGUGGUGUUGUGGUGCCAAAGCAAUGCGGUCAUGCUCACCCAUCGUCGUAGUGCGGCUUCGUGAUGCCUGUGAUCAACUUUCAAAGUGGUCAUUGCGACCAUCGUGCGGUGCCCGUUAAAAGGACCGUGGCAACGCACGGGCAUUAUACUAGUCUUAUAUUAUGUUACUUAUGUGACCAUGGCAUUACAGCCAUGUUGCCAUGCAGUACUCCUCUGUCCAAUUCACCAAACAAUUUUUGCUGCCAUUCCUAAACCCUACUGAAAACCUAAGAAUCAAGCUGGGGGAGAAUUUUGUAAAACAUCAAGUUCGCUUGAUCAAAGGGAGAUGGAAGAGCCACCAUUACAACAGGCUGGGGAGAUUUCGUAUA